GUAGGGUGCAAGCGUUAUCCGGAUUUAUUGGGCGUAAAGAGUUCGUAGGCGGUUUUGUAAGUAUCGGGUUAAAUACCCAGGCUCAACUUGGGGAAAGCUCGAUAAACUACAAAACUAGAAAUCUGUUGGGGAGGCUGGAAUUCCACAUGUAGGGGUGAAAUCCGUUGAUAUGUGGAGGAACACCGAGGGCGAAGGCAGGCCUCUGGGCAGAUAUUGACGCUAAGGAACGAAAGCUAGGGUAGCAAAUGGGAUUAGAGACCCCAGUAGUCCUAGCCGUAAACGAUCCUGCUAGAUUUUGGGUUUACUCAGAGUCGUAAGCUAACGCGUUAAGCAGGGCGCCCUGGGAAGUACGGCCGCAAGGCUA
rnacentral:rRNA from 1 species